AACUCCUCUGAGAUUCAUCCAAGUUGCUGUGUCUAUCAAUAAUUUUUAUUAAAUUAUUAUUGAGUAGAAAUGCAUAGUGUAGAUGUACCUCAAUGUAUUUAACUUUGAGCUGUUGAAGACAUCUGUGUUGUUUCCACUUGUUUUCCAGUUUUUGCCUAUUAUUAAUAAAGCUGCUAGGAACGUCCUUAUACAGGUUUUUGUAUGAACAUAAGUUUUCAUUUCCCUGAGAUGAAUGUCCAGUAGUGCAAUUGCUGGGUUGUAUGGGAAUUAAUUGUAUACUCAGAUUUAUAAGAAACUGCCAAACUGUUUUCCAACAUGACUGUACCAUUUUAUAUCCCCCAGCAAAGUUUGGGUGAUCCAGUUUUUCCACCUUCUUUGUUUUGGUAUGGUUUUUUAGAUUACAUUAGGCUGUGUGGAUGGUAAAAUUAGUAGAUAAAUACAUGGCCCAUAUAAGAAUAGCCUGUAAAAAGUCAGUCCAAAGAGUCCAAAGGGUAAAAAGGCAGGAGUUGUAUAAAAAAAGUCAUCUCAAAUCAAGCAACAGGCUCUCUGACUGAGGUCAUAGGGCUUCUAGGUAUGCAGGAAAUGCUUCAUAUUCUUGGAAAGUAACCAGUAUGCCCUAAAGCUCUGUUCAGUCUAAAUUAAAAUAAAUAAAUCUUUUGUUUCCAAAACAGGAUCAUGGCCUGUAAAAUGCUUCAAGCUGCCCUGUGUUCAACAUUGCUUAUAGGAGUACUGGGAGCACCAUUUUUAUUGGAGGACCCAGCAAACCAGUUCCUACGUCUCAAAAGACACAUAUAUUUGCAGGAUUACUGGAACCCAGAUCACAGCCCGAAUACAUGGGGAAACACUCUGGUUGAUCAGGCUCGUGAAACAUGGACUGCUUUGAAAACGACAGCACAGUAUUAUCUGAAUCUGAAUACUUUCACCCUUGACAUGUCUGCUGCCCAGUAAAUGUACCUUGCUGGUUAAACCAGGAUAACAAGAAUAGUGGGACCCAAAAAGUGGCGAUGUACCCCAACCACCAGCUUUGGGGACCUGAGGGCAAAUCCACACUACUUACUAUAUUAUUUAUGUCUGCCUCAUGGAGCUGUUGAAAGGAGUAAAUAUGGAAAUCAACACUGAUACCUCGAAUUAGAAGUUCUCAAUAAAUGGUAGCUCUUAAAAUGAUAACUAAAAUAAAGACUGUAGUAAUAACAUUUACCAAAAAGGAGCUUUUAUGGGAACAGAAAAUAUAAAGCAAAACAUAGUGUCAUUAAAACUCUCUGUCCAGGGACUUCCUUGGUGGUCCAGUGGUUAAGAAACUGCCUUCCAAUGCAGGGGAUGAGAGGUCAGUCCCUGGUCGGAGAACUAAUACCUCACGUGCUGCAGGGAAGUCUGGGCACCACAACUACAGAGCCUGAGUGCUAUAGAGCCCAAGAGCUGCAACUGGAGAAAAGCCUGUGCAGCUUAAUGAAAGAUGCCACAUUCCACAGUAAAGAUCCUGCGUGCUGCAACUAAGUCCAGAUGCAGCCACAUUUUUAAAAAAUAAUUAAAAUUUAAAAAAAAACUGUCCAAAAAGGAAACAAAACAAAACAAACCUCCUGUUGGUAACUCCUGCUUUCUACUGCCUUUUCUUUGAGUUACUUCACUUUGCAUUCAAGGAAGGAAAUGGAAUCUCUCAAAUGGAGCUGGUCCUCACCUCUUUUCUUCAAUAUUUGUCAGUUCCUGAACAACAACAAAGCCAAUCUAUUCCAAGACCAUACUUUUGUUAAAUCACAGCUGUACUGCUGUGGGCAAUAGAGAACAAAAUCUUAACUCAUUUUGGGAAAUAGAUGAUGACUAGGAGUCCAGUGGAACCCACAAAUCUGUAAGCUUUCCUUGGAAAUUUUGUAAAAUUUGUGCAAUUUUUGUAUUCUGGUUUAUAAUGUACUUAUGAUUGUUUCAAUAUGAAACAACAGUUUUAAAGAAGUCUCACAUCCAUUAUCAGUCACUCCCCAUCCCCACCACACCCC